CGGCCCCGGGCAUAGACUCUGAG
rnacentral:piRNA from 1 species